rnacentral:rRNA from 1 species
UACGUAGGGUGCGAGCGUUAAUCGGAAUUACUGGGCGUAAAGCGUGCGCAGGCGGUUUGUAAGCCAGAUGUGAAAUCCCCGGGCUCAACCUGGGAAUGGCAUUUGGGACUGCAAGGCUGGAGUACGGCAGAGGAGACUGGAAUUCCUGGUGUAGCAGUGAAAUGCGUAGAUAUCAGGAGGAAUACCGAUGGCGAAGGCAGGUCUCUGGGCUGAUACUGACGCUCAUGCACGAAAGCGUGGGGAGCAAACAGG